UCUUAUUUUCACUUAAUAUCACUUUUUUAUAAUAUUUUAAAUAUUAAUAAUUAUAACAAAGUUUAUUAUUUUUUAUUAGAUUAGAUAUUUAAAAUCUAUUUGUUUCGAUUUUUUAAAAAUUUAUAUUAGAAUUUAUGUAUUUUUUUAAAUUCAGCAUUAAGAUUUUAAGAUGUAAGAUUUUAUUAUGAUGAUGAUGAUUUGACUUUUUUAAUGUAUUUGUACUGUAUAUCUAAACUGGUAAAAAAAAAUUUUUUUAAAUCAUAAUUUUGUCUGUUUAUUUUAAGUGGUCUUGCUGUGUGAAGUCCAUUAAUAGUCUCUCAGUUAAUAUGAGCUCAUAAAAGUAGCAUAUACAAUAAUUGAAAGUAGAUGUAUUGGAAACCUUUCCCUUAAAAUGUUUUGGAUUAAUUUUAUCAUAUCAAACCGCAGGACCUGUAAUUUGGAAUCUAGUUUUUCUUUGCCAUUUUCUGGGCUUAUUGAGUCGUUCUGUGGCUGCAGGUUUCAUGUGGUUCUUAACAUAAUUCAACACAGUUCACCACAUCCCAAGGUUUUUCCUCCAUUUCUGUCACGAUGGAGUUUUGGUUCCUUGUCACUGUCGCCUUUGUCUUGCUUAUUUAGGGACACCUGACUGAUUGUUGCACGGACACUAUUGGAAGAGAACUGAACCGGAUGAUCACUGAAAGAUCAUCAAUGAACUGACUUUGGUUGAAAAAGGACUCCGUUAUUGUCAUUUAUUUUCCUGUUUGUCUCUGUGAAGCUGCGUUGACGCAACCAGCAUUGUAUAAAGCACUAUACAAAUAAAGAUGACCUGACUUGACAACCUAAACACCAGCUCAACUGCUGUACUAAACUACUCAUAAACCUUAACUACUCAUUAAACAAAUAGACACAUUAACCAUGACUCAUGAACGUGACUGAAAGUGAAACAUUGAUGAUGAUCAGAAAUGUUUCUUGAGCAGCAGAUCAGCACGUUAAAAUGAUUUCUGAAGAUCAUGUGACACUGAAGACUGGAGUAAUGAUGCUGAAAAUUCAGCUGCGCAUCACAGAAAUAAAUUACAGUUUAACAGAUAUUCACAUAAGAAAAUGGUUAUUUUAAAUUGCAAUAAUAUUUCACACUAAUUUUUACUGUUAUUUUUAGAGCAUUGUAUAAAGCACUAUACAAAUAAAGAUGACCUGACUUGACAACCUAAACACCAGCUCAACUGCUGUACUAAACUACUCAUAAACCUUAACUACUCAUUAAACAAAUAGACACAUUAACCAUGACUCAUGAACGUGACUGAAAGUGAAACAUUGAUGAUGAUCAGAAAUGUUUCUUGAGCAGCAGAUCAGCACGUUAAAAUGAUUUCUGAAGAUCAUGUGACACUGAAGACUGGAGUAAUGAUGCUGAAAAUUCAGCUGCGCAUCACAGAAAUAAAUUACAGUUUAACAGAUAUUCACAUAGAAAAUGGUUAUUUUAAAUUGCAAUAAUAUUUCACAAUUUUUACUGUAUUUUUGAUCAAAUAAACAUGAAAAAGAGACUUUUGAAAACACUUUUGACUGGUAAUAUAUAUCAAGCAUUCAUUGCUGAUUAUCAUCACACACACACACACACACACACACUUGACUUUGUUUAGCUCACUAACCCAGACUAGAGUAUAGUGAUGCUUGACCUGUUGUAUCCAGUGUGUUCAGCAGCGUCAGUGGAGCUGAAACGCUCUAGAUUACACAUUCAGGUCAGCGCUCAGAGAGGAAGUGAAGCCUGCCAGCCUUUAGCGUCAAACACGCUCAGGUGAUCGCUCACAGGUGCGUGUUCAGCUCUUUCAUCUCCGCCUUUCGUUUCAUCCAUCUGCGCUCGUUCGUCUGGCCUCUCUUUCUCAGUCCCUCAUAUCUCGCGCUCAUCUGUUGCUCUUGGCGUCGUUUUUGCUAGGUAAAACCUUUUGUGAUUUAUCAGCCGUCAUCUCUUAUCACCGUCUCGUAUGUGCGAGGUCUUUCUCUUUAUUUUCUUUGCUGUCGGCAGACUUUUAUUUCCCAUUCAGCCUUCACAAUGAAGUCCACAACACGGUUUCAGGAAAAACACAGUCCAGGGUUAUUAUCGUCAACUAAAAUGGAAAACUUAAAAAAAAAAUUCAUUACUUGAAGAAAAAUAAUAAUGGCUGAAAUAAAAUAAAAUAUAUAAAAUAAAUAUAUAAAUACGUUUUAUAUAUUUUAUGUCAUUUCUGCAAGUUGCCAAGGCAAAUUUUCUAAUAUUUGUUUAAAGUUGAAGUACUAAAUAACUAAAACUAAUACUGAACUUAAUGAAACAACAGUAUAUAGACAAUAAAAUAAUAAUAAAUAGUUUAAGUUUUUUAAAAUAUAUUUUAUGUAUUUAUUUAUUUAUUUUUCAGUAGCCAAGGAAAAUGUCUCUAUAUGUUGUCAAUUAUAUAUAUUUUUAUUUAUUUUUUAUAUAUAUAUAUAUAUAUAUAUAUAUAUCAUGAAACGCACAACAAAUUACACACAAAAAAUAAAAAAUAGGCAAAAGUACAUAUAAAAUAAAAUCUGGCAAAAAGUACA
rnacentral:lncRNA from 1 species